ACAACUUCAGCAACGAUCUCUUGGCUCUCGCAUCGAUGAAGAACGCAGCGAAAUGCGAUAAGUAUGUGAUUGCAGAAUUCAGUGAAUCAUCGAAUCUUUGAACGCACCUUGCGCUCCUUGGUAUUCCGAGGAGCAUGCCUGUUUGAGUGUCAUU
rnacentral:rRNA from 1 species